CUUCCUUGAAAUGAAGAUACUUGAAUUUAAGGAUUACAAAUUAUUGUAGUAGUUUUUGUUUUCAGUCUACACUAUUAAAAGUAUAACAUAUACUUAUUUAAUCAUCUUUAGUUGUGGAAUUAGCAAUUACAUGAAUCGUUUUAGAAGGAUGCAUUAAAUAACAUUUCGGUGAGUCAUUUCUUAUUUUCAUUUUAUUUAUUUAUUUAUUUAUUUAUUUAUUUUUGUAUCAGGGAUUGAACUCAGGACCUUGCGCUUGCGAGGCAGGGAAUGGAACCACUGAGCUAAAUCCCUGGAUUUAGCCUCCUGCUUCUUAUUUUUAUUUUAAAGGACAGUAAUUCAUUAUAAUUAAUUGUGUGGAGUUAAUCCAUUCUUAAAAAGACAGGGUAUGAAGCUCAGACUGGCUAUAUAUCUCAGACUGGCCCACUCACUAUGCAGUCCAGGCUGACCUGGAACUCAAGGCGAUCUUCCUGCCUUUGCCUCUGAGUACCUGGGAUUACAGGUGUGCAGUGUAUGCCACCAUACUUGGGUUUGAAAUUCAUAAAAAUUAUACUGAAAAAAAUCAGAAGAGAUUAAUUUCUAUCAGUUUAAGGGUACUUUUUGGUAACACGUUGUGGGGAAUAACCUAGAGAACUCCUGAUUUUCACUGAACAUUAAAUUUGAAAAUAAUAUAUAGCUGUCUAGAUCAAUUUAAUAGUUCAGUAAUUAUCUCCUUAUCUUGAUUAAUAGAGUGGUGUUGUAGAUUAUCAAAGGAAGAGUUUAAAUGUAAACAAAUAUGCUGCAUAGGUAUUAUAUUUUUAUAUAAGUAGGACUUUUUUUUUGUUACUGGGGAUUGAACUUGUGUCCUUGUGGUUGCGCAGCAGGCGGCAAAACCACUGAGCUAUAUCCCUGGUCCUGUAAGUAGGACUUUUAAAUGGUAGUAAAAGUAUCAAAUGCUGCUAUUCUGUUGCUGUAUUUUAAUAAAAUGAAAAUAAUAAGUCUUGCCACUGUUGAGUAGUAAUUUCACUUGUUUUGGUGGUAUUUGCAUAUUCAUAGAUAUGAAGUUUUUGUAUUAGCUUUUUGUUUUUUUGAGACAGGGCCUUGCUAUGUAGCCCAGGCUGGACUUGGAUUCACAUUCCUCUUGUCUUAGAUCUGUGCCACAGCUCACAGCUUGUGACAGUGGGGUAUUGAGGUCUCCCACUACAAUUGUAUUAGUGUAUAUAUGACUUUUCAUGUCUGUUAGUAAUUGUUUUAUAUAGUUGGGCACACUAGUGUUUGGUGCGUAGAUAUUUAUGAUUGUCAUCUCUUCCUGUUGGAUUGUUCCCUUUACAAGAAUGUAGUGUCCUUCCUUGUCUCUCUUAAUCAGUGUUGUUUUGAAAUCCACUUGAUCUGCAAAGAGGAUAGCUACUCCUGCUUUUUUUUGGGUUCCCAUCACAUGGAUUAUUGUUUUCCACCCUUUAACUUUCAGUCUAUGAGUUUCACUUUGAAUUAGGUGUGUUUCUUGUAGGUGUGCAACAUAUUGUUGGAUUUUGCUUCUUGACCCAUUCUGCCAGUCUAUUUUGAUUGGUGAAUUGAGAC
rnacentral:lncRNA from 1 species